GAUGAAGAACGUAGCGAAAUGCGAUAAGUAAUGCGAAUUGCAGAAUUCAGUGAAUCAUCGAAUCUUUGAACGCACAUUGCGCCCGCCAGUAUUCUGGCGGGCAUGCCUGUCUGAGCGUCGUUUCGACCCUCGCGCCCGGCUUCUGUCGGGGGCGGUGUUGGGGAUCGGCCACACCCUUCAGUGGGAGGCCGGCCCCUAAAUUCAGCGGCGACCACGCUGUAGCCUCCCCUGCGUAGUACUAAAACCACCUCGCAGGCGGAGAGCGGUGCGGCCCGCCGUAAAACCCCCCAACUUUUACAAGGUCGACCUCAGAUCAGGUAGGAAUACCCGCUGAACUUAAGCAUAUCAAUAAGCGGAGGA
rnacentral:misc_RNA from 1 species